UACAGAGGUGGCAAGCGUUGUUCGGAAUUACUGGGCGUAAAGGGCGCGUAGGCGGUUCGUUAAGUCCUGUGUGAAAUCCCCGGGCUCAACCCGGGAACUGCGUCCGAUACUGGCAGGCUUGAAUCCGGGAGAGGGAUGCGGAAUUCCAGGUGUAGCGGUGAAAUGCGUAGAUAUCUGGAGGAACAUCGGUGGCGAAGGCGGCAUCCUGGACCGGUAUUGACGCUGAGGCGCGAAAGCCAGGGGAGCAAACGGG
rnacentral:rRNA from 1 species